UCAGAGAGAUAACGAGUUUGGUCAAAGUGCAAUUCUUGACUCUGAAUCAAGCGAUCGGGGUUCGAAUCCCUGUCCCGGAUCCA
rnacentral:tRNA from 1 species